rnacentral:rRNA from 1 species
AUUGAACGCUGGCGGCAUGCCUUACACAUGCAAGUCGAACGGCAGCACGGGAGCAAUCCUGGUGGCGAGUGGCGAACGGGUGAGUAAAGUAUCGGAACGUGACCAGUCGUGGGGGAUAACGUAGCGAAAGUUACGCUAAUACCGAAUACGAUCUAUGGAUGAAAGCGGGGGAUCGCAAGACCUCGCGCGAUUGGAGCGGCCGAUAUCAGAUGAGGUAGUUGGUGGGGUAAAGGCGAACCAAGCCGACGAUCUGUAGCUGGUCUGAGAGGACGACCGGCCACACUUGGACUGAAACACGGCCCAGACUCCUACGGGAGGCAGCAGUGGGGAAUUUUGGACAAUGGGCGAAAGCCUGAUCCAGCCAUGCCGCGUGCAGGAUGAAGGCCUUCGGGUUGUAAACUGCUUUUGUACGGAACGAAAAGGUUUGGCCUAAUAAGCUGAGCUCAUGACGGUACCGUAAGAAUAAGCACCGGCUAACUACGUGCCAGCCGCCGCGGUAA